UACGUAGGGCGCAAGCGUUGUCCGGAAUUAUUGGGCGUAAAGAGCUCGUAGGCGGUCUGUCACGUCGGAUGUGAAAGCCCGGGGCUUAACCCCGGGCCUGCAUUCGAUACGGGCAGACUAGAGUUCGGCAGGGGAGACUGGAAUUCCUGGUGUAGCGGUGAAAUGCGCAGAUAUCAGGAGAAACACCGAUGGCGAAGGCAGGUCUCUGGGCCACUACUGACGCUGAGAAGCGAAAGCAUGGGGAGCGAACAGG
rnacentral:rRNA from 1 species